UAACGCGUGGGUAACCUGCCUCAUACAGGGGGAUAACAGUUAGAAAUGACUGCUAAUACCGCAUAAGCGCACAGUGCUGCAUGGCACAGUGUGAAAAACUCCGGUGGUAUGAGAUGGACCCGCGUCUGAUUAGCUAGUUGGUAAGGUAACGGCUUACCAAGGCGACGAUCAGUAGCCGACCUGAGAGGGUGACCGGCCACAUUGGGACUGAGACACGGCCCAA
rnacentral:rRNA from 1 species